AUGACUCACCUGGGUUUUAUCUCCGGUCCCUCUCUCUGUGCUCAUGACCCUCUGUGUUCCCCUCACGAGAAUCAUUCAUUCCUCGUGCUUCUGGGCUCCCCUGGGUACGAUCUGCCUCAUGGUCACUGGGAUGCUCUUGUCAUAAGUGGCCCACUCACACGCGCUCUCUCACAGCCUAUUCACCUCCUGGUUUUGGAAGAAGAUUCUAUCAAGCCCCGCCAACUUGCCAGUAACUCCAGAUGGCAAAAUGACCUGCGCCAAACGGGAAGUGAAACGUUAUUCCCGCCAUACCUACAGGAUACAAUGAGACUGAACUUGCCCUUUGGAGAAUCCUCAUAUAAUAACUUCCUGACUUCCUGUCACCAGAAUGUCAUGUCGCACACAGCUAUGGCUUCCCUCGUCCCGCUGAGCCUUUGUAUUAUGGUCAUUCUAGCCACAGGAUACGGCCACCCUGUAGCCAAGAGCAGUAGGAAUGUGCUGACCAGCCUUGGGUUCAUCUGGAGGGGAGAUGCUCAUCUGGUUCUCCUCCAGGACGUGCGCUGGGUUUGCUCCUUCAGGAAGGAGACUGAGGUCAUAAACCCAGUGGCUUUCCAGUCCACCUGCUUCUCACGUGCGCCAAUUCCAUCUUUCCUACUCCUCAUUCUGUCCCGCUCCCCCCCGCUCUGUGUUGCAGCAGACCGCCCUGGAGAUCCAGAAACCAGAGAUGCCAGGGAGCGGGUGGCGCCACUCAGAGCACCACAGCCAGCUUCACACGUAGAUCUCUGGGGGAGUUCACCAGAUGAGCAGUCUGGGAACCGACUCCAGUAUCUGAAAAGUCUCCGCAAGGACACAGCUUCCCACCAGCAGAAGUGGAGAGACCCCAGUCCUGCCACAUCCAUGAGGGAGACCCAAGGAAAAGCAGGAAGUGAUGGGAACAGCAGGAAACACCACAGCAGAGCCAUGACCCCCCAGCCCGCCCAUCCACCACCCGUCUCAGCAGCCAGCCAAGGGCUCUUGUAGGCGGCUAUGACGAGCAAAAGCUGAGGUUCCAGGGCACCAGGGGCCUCGUUUCAGCACUGAGACCCUCUGCCCAGAAGACGUGUUCUUCUUCCAGACUGCCAAGCACCUGCAGGAGCCGUUACCGUCAACAGACACUCAUUGGUCCUUUGGUUUUUCUCUGAUGCCUCCACUGGAAGCGGCCAGGUAGACUCUGCUCUGGGUUUGUUAUGAAAACAGUUGUAGAAACCUCCACGCAACAAAUUCCAUUCAGAAUUCAGUGCCAGAGAAAGUCUGUUCUUGCCUCAAGAAGGUGUGCUUCUGCUCUGUUAAUAAAAAGAAGGAUGAGAUACCCGUCUUUGCUCUC
rnacentral:lncRNA from 1 species